CGUGCAGCUACGAAGUCCUCGAGAUCACAGUGAUUCGACAGAGCAGGAAGAAGGAUGUUUUAUAUUCGAGUUUUAUAUUCGUUUAAGGCUAGAUGAGAUCUCUUUCACUCGCACUUUCCCUUCCUUCGUUCGUCACUUGGAACCGGUGACAUUCUACUGUAAGUGAAUUCUUCGUGUAACAGCUGCUGGUGCAAUGGGGCAAGUUAAAUGAUCGGUAGGUGCAUCGAGAUGAAUAUUCAAUGCCUUGAUGACCGCGAACGGACUUAAGGUUACCAUUAAGUAACAAGUAUGCAAAUGGGAGCAACCCAAGAUGGACAAUUGGAGUGUACGUUAGAGUUUCAGGACGGGAUAGGACCUAGUCAGCCUGUAGAAGUAGCUGUGCCUCUGCGAGAACAUUUUCGCGAGAGUGAUUCAUCGGAGCUCGCGGGGACGAGGAAGCCGAGAAGGAAAAUGUCAACGAUAAAAAAUGCACAAGCCCGAGACACGUCUCCCCGAUAAACCAGAGACGAGGUUCCUGUCGACCGACGCUACAACAUCGCGAAUUCGGCCGGGGUUGAAUAAUCGACUGUCGAGGAAUCGAGUUUCCCGCGAGUCGUAUUCCAGACAUCCUAUUCCGUGGUAAAAUGAGCCAGCCGUCGAAAUAAUUCUAUUGAUUUUGGUAAUCGAAAUUCGAAUCUGCGAACCCGGGAUCGAUGAUAACGAGGAAUCAAUUGAAAUUACUAUUCCGCGAGGAUUGGCGUUUAACGAAAGGGAAGAAAAAUAUUCGACGCGGAAAAUCGCGCGGAGUUAAUCCGAGGUAGACGUGUUUCUAAAGGAGUCGAUGAACCGAGGUAGAUCAACGAAACUGAAUUCUGGCGCUUAGCAACAGUCAAACGUAAUUCUACCGUCUAACAACUGCUCUCAUUCACGCUCGACUUAGAAAUGCUGUUCACCAAUAAUGAAAUCUACGUAGAAUGCAAUUUACUUCUCCAGUCGACAGAUUUAUCAACAAAGUGGAAGUUUCAAUAUCAUCUCGAUAAUAAUCACAGUACCAAGCUCGAAAAGAUCAUUUCACGUAAUUAUAUCAAAUCGUUCGUAUAAUAUUUAAAAAAAAUUAUAGACGUUUAAACAAACAGUAAUGUAUAAGAUCCACGCCUAAUUGUUAAAAUAAAAUCGAAAGAUCGCAAAAAUGAAAAAAUUCCUUCGAGCCGGAUUCGAACCAGCGACCUAUGGAUGUCCGCGUUUAAAUUCCCAACUACAGUCCACCGCUCUACCAACUGAGCUAUCGAAGGAUUGAAGACUCCGGGCUUACUGAAAGUAUUUAUACCUAUUGAUACAUAAAUAUUGAUCUUACAAACAACAUACAUGACGCGUAUGGAAUAAACAAUCAAUCGAAUAUGAGAAGAAAAUAAGAAUUAUC